GAUGAACGCUAGCGGGAGGCCUAACACAUGCCAGCCGAGCGGUAUUGUUUCUUCGGCAAUGAGAGAGCGGCGUACGGGUGCGUAACACGUGUGCAACCUGCCUUUAUCUGGGGGAUAGCCUUUCGAAAGGAAGAUUAAUACUCCAUAAUAUAUUGAACGGCAUCGUUUAAUAUUGAAAGCUCCGGCGGAUAGAGAUGGGCACGCGCAAGAUUAGCUAGUUGGUGAGGUAACGGCUCACCAAGGCGAUGAUCGUUAGGGGGCCUGAGAGGGUGAUCCCCCACACUGGUACUGAGACACGGACCAGACUCCUACGGGAGGCAGCAGUGAGGAAUAUUGGUCAAUGGGUGCAAGCCUGAACCAGCCAUCCCGCGUGAAGGACGACUGCCCUAUGGGUUGUAAACUUCUUUUGUAUAGGGAUAAACCUACCCUCGAGAGGGUAGCUGAAGGUACUAUACGAAUAAGCACCGGCUAACUCCGUG
rnacentral:rRNA from 1 species